rnacentral:rRNA from 1 species
AGCGAUCGUUAGCGGCGGGCCUAACACAUGCAAGUCGCACGAGAAAAGGGCUUCGGCCCCGAGUAAAGUGGCGGACGGGUGAGUAACACGUGGGUAAUCUGCCCUUCUGCGGGGGACAACAGUCCGAAAGGAUUGCUAAUACCGCGUACGUCGUAGGGUUCUCCGGGACCUUACGGGAAAGCCGGCCUCUUCAUGAAAGCGGGCGCAGAAGGAGGGGCCCGCGGCCCAUCAGCUUGUUGGUGAGGUAACGGCUCACCAAGGCUUAGACGGGUAGCUGGUCUGAGAGGAUGAUCAGCCACACUGGGACUGAGACACGGCCCAGACUCCUACGGGAGGCAGCAGUGGGGAAUAUUGGGCAAUGGGCGCAAGCCUGACCCAGCCACGCCGCGUGAGUGAUGAAGGCCUUCGGGUCGUAAAGCUCUGUGGGGAGGGACGAAAAAACAUUGGCUAAUAUCCAAUGGCUUGACGGUACCUCCUUAGCAAGCACCGGCUAACUCCGUGCCAGCAGCCGCCGUAA